AUAUAAUGACAAUGAAGAUAGUAGUGGCGACAGUAUAGUGGCAAUAAUGGUAAUAAUGGAGAUGAUGAUGGUGGUGGAAAUGAUAGCAGCAGCUGUAAUAGCAAUAGUGGUGGUGGUGAUAGUGACAACGAUGACGAUGGUGGUGAUGAAAAUGAUAGCAGCAACUAUAACAGCAAUGGUGGUAGUGGAGACAGUAUGGUAAUGAUAGUAGCGCUGGCGACGAUGUAGAGGUGGUGUAGAUGAUGGUAAAAGACAAUUUUUUAAUUUUUGAAAAUAAUAAAAAUAAUUUUUUACUCAUAUUUUCUCAAAAAAAUAUUAUUUUUAAAUAUAAUAUAAUAUAAUAUAAUACGUUUUAAUCCAAAUUUUACAAUUAUGUUUUUUUAAAAAUAAAAAUGAAAAAGAAGAGCAGCGCCAAGCAGGUACUAUGGUCAUCAUUUCAUGCACCAGUAAUAGCUGUUGCUAAAGAUUAGGCCCGCCUUGGCAUUAUGGUAUGUACGAGUGUGCAUAAUAGGAGUAAUCUUAAGAGUCCUUCCUCAAGGCUAUGGAGUUGUAAAGGUUGGCCGAGGGAGCGUGAAUCCAAGCUUU
rnacentral:lncRNA from 1 species